rnacentral:lncRNA from 1 species
UUAAAAUGUAGCAUAAAAUCAUCUUGAUACAUAAUAUGCUACAAAUAUACCAUUCAUACACUAAGACUAUAUCUAGAAUAUAUCAAGAACAUCAAGUAUAGAGGUUCAGUAAGUAAUGAGUAGUUUUUAAACAUCUGUAUAUUAAAUAAAAAUAGGUAACUGCUGUGAAUCCUCAAUUGAAAAUAACUGGCCUAGAAAAUGCUAGAUUUACAUUAAAAAAGUAAAGAUAUGACUAACUUAACAUUUUUAGAAAUAACAACUUAUGACUGAUAACUAUACCAUUUUUAUCUAAUAUCAGGAAAAACAGCAAGACUGAUAUAUAGGAUGAUAUCAUGGUGUAAUCCCAGCACUUUGGGAGACCGAGGCAGGCGAAUCAUGAGGUCAAGAGAUGGAGACCAUCCUGGCCAACACGGUGAAACCCCAUCUCUACUAGAAAUACAAAAAUUAGCUGGGUUUGGUGGCACGCACCUAUAGUCCCAGCUACUCGGGAGGCUGAAGCAGGAGAAUCACAUGAACCCGAGAGGCAGAGAAUACGGUGAGCUGAGAUCAUGCCACACCACUGCACUCAAGCCUGGGUGACAGAGGAAGACUCUGUCAAAAUAAAAAAAAAAAAAAAGAUGAAUAAUGAUUUAACGUGAUUUUACAAACGUACAUUUUUAAUAAUCUUAGGCAUUUCAUAGAAGUAACACUAGCUUAUUUAUUAAGCAUACUUAAUAAAUAACACAAGUUUAGUUAUUAAGUAACACUAGCUUAUUUAAUCAGUAGGUAAAAUAAAAAUCUACUUUUGUAUUAUACUGAACACUGAGAAAUCAGAGAAGAUACAUCUGCAAUUAUUAAGCAAAACAUAUUAAGCUAAUCUAGCCAAGGAUUCACCUAAAGUAUGUAAACUUGAAUUUUUAAAACAUUUCUGAAUUACAAGAAUAACUUUUUUUUUAUUAUUUCUUAGGAAGUUUGAAACUUCCAAGCCACAUUAGUGCUUAUUUAUUUCUAUACCUACUAGAAUAGAACUUCUUUAAGAGAUUAUAUAAUCAAAUUUGGAAAUAUAUUUAGAGAAGAGAAAAUAUUAUAUACUCGUAAAAUGAAGGCCUUUCUAUGUUAGAGACACAUAAACAUAAAAAUAUACAGGAGAGGAAAUUUAUAACUUCAAUUCUAAAAUUUUAGUCCUUUGUCAAGCAUAAACACAGAAAUACAAACUUACCAAUUCAUAUAUAUACUUCCACUUCCUGGUAGGCAUGUAACUCUCAAUUGAUCUGAUCUCAAGAUAAACAAAGAGACAAACUAAAAAGAUUAACAAACCAUGUUCUCUGUCUUUCUGCCGACAGAUACAAGAUCUCUGUAAACCUUCAAUCAAUUUACAUAAAAAGCCAAAUGAUUAGAUAAUAAAGCCAAAAGACGCUAGCACCAGAAAUCAAGUAAAAAAUCAGGACCCAAAAUUAAUUAUUUAUCACCCAACAAAAGAGUCAGUAGCAUGAAAAGAGCUGAGUUCACUGUUGAGUUCUAGACCUUCAGGAGCACAAAAAAAGAGUUGCCAAGAGGCUUCAUUUACUUGAGGUGAGUUCAUUGUGUUAUGAAGGCAGGGUCAGAGCCUACCUGAGUCAUGGUAUGAAGACUGCGAAGGACAAACUGCACCAGACAAUUGAAGAUAUUAUUUUUUUCAGGAUGUUACAACAGAGUUAUUAUACACUUAUAAGUGACUUCGCAAAGAAAAUGAGGGUGGCCUUAUGGGAGUCAUGAGGAAAAAUAGACAUAGGUCUUUUUCUCUGAGUACACAACAACAAAGUAGUCCUUUCCAGUUAGCCAUUUCUCAGAACACAGAGGACUGGAAACAUCUCUCGACCAUUGCUGUUUUCUAGUGAUACAAGACUGAGAUAAAAUUAAACAUUGUCAGUUUUUUAAUGCCUUCAUGUAAUAUUGAAUUUUUGAUUCUGUAACUUUAUUGACACUGUUUAUUCUUUGAAAGUCCUGUAUGCCCUGACAUAUGAAAGCUUCCUGACAGAACUUUCUUACCUGUAUCUUCUUGGGUUCAGUUUAUCAUAGAACAACUUUAAUAUCAAUGUAAUAACUUUAGUUCACUCACUGAAAACGGAUAGUGUGAAAUCAGACCAAAAGUAAUGCAAUGCAUUUGUCCUGAGAUUUUAUUUUCACAUCAUUUAUUUUUCCCUCCUCCUUCUCCACCUCCUU